rnacentral:misc_RNA from 1 species
GUGUGUGUGUGUGUGUGUGUUCUUAUCUUCAAUUAUGUUACAACUUUAUCUCUAUGUUAAUGUUCAAUAUUGUUUGCUUUGUUUGCUUUAUAAUGAACUUUUCCCUCUGAAUUGGUAGAAUAUAUAAUCACUAAUUCACCAAUUUCUCAAUUUAGCAAUGCUGGUUAAUAUGUUGCUUCCUCAUCUUCUACCAUAUUUAACUUUCUCAGGAACCUGCCUCAGGUUGGCUUGAU